rnacentral:rRNA from 1 species
AGAGGAGCCUGCUCUUCUUGGAUGAGUUGCGAACGGUGAGUAACGCGUAGGUAACCUGCCUUGUAGCGGGGGAUAACUAUUGGAAACGAUAGCUAAUACCGCAUAACAAUGGAUGACACAUGUCAUUUAUUUGAAAGGGGCAAUUGCUCCACUACAAGAUGGACCUGCGUUGUAUUAGCUAGUAGGUGAGGUAAUGGCUCACCUAGGCGACGAUACAUAGCCGACCUGAGAGGGUGAUCGGCCACACUGGGACUGAGACACGGCCCAGACUCCUACGGGAGGCAGCAGUAGGGAAUCUUCGGCAAUGGGGGCAACCCUGACCGAGCAACGCCGCGUGAGUGAAGAAGGUUUUCGGAUCGUAAAGCUCUGUUGUAAGUCAAGAACGGGUGUGAGAGUGGAAAGUUCACACUGUGACGGUAGCUUACCAGAAAGGGACGGCUAACUACGUGCCAGCAGCCGCGGUAAUACGUAGGUCCCGAGCGUUGUCCGGAUUUAUUGGGCGUAAAGCGAGCGCAGGCGGUUUGAUAAGUCUGAAGUUAAAGGCUGUGGCUCAACCAUGGUUCGCUUUGGAAACUGUCAAACUUGAGUGCAGAAGGGGAGAGUGGAAUUCCAUGUGUAGCGGUGAAAUGCGGUAGAUAUAUGGAGGAACACCGGUGGCGAAAGCGGCUCUCUGGUCUGUAACUGACGCUGAGGCUCGAAAGCGUGGGGAGCGAACAGGAUUAGAUACCCUGGUAGUCCCCGCCGUAAACGAUGAGUGCUAGGUGUUGGAUCCUUUUCCGGAUUUCAGUGCCGCAGCUAACGCAUUAAGCACUCCGCCUGGGGAGUACGACCGCAAGGUUGAAACUCAAAGGAAUUGACGGGGGCCCGCACAAGCGGUGGAGCAUGUGGUUUAAUUCGAAGCAACGCGAAGAACCUUACCAGGUCUUGACAUCCCGAUGCUAUUUCUAGAGAUAGAAAGUUACUUCGGUACAUCGGUGACAGGUGGUGCAUGGUUGUCGUCAGCUCGUGUCGUGAGAUGUUGGGUUAAGUCCCGCAACGAGCGCAACCCCUAUUGUUAGUUGCCAUCAUUCAGUUGGGCACUCUAGCGAGACUGCCGGUAAUAAACCGGAGGAAGGUGGGGAUGACGUCAAAUCAUCAUGCCCCUUAUGACCUGGGCUACACACGUGCUACAAUGGUUGGUACAACGAGUUGCGAGUCGGUGACGGCGAGCUAAUCUCUUAAAGCCAAUCUCAGUUCGGAUUGUAGGCUGCAACUCGCCUACAUGAAGUCGGAAUCGCUAGUAAUCGCGGAUCAGCACGCCGCGGUGAAUACGUUCCCGGGCCUUGUACACACCGCCCGUCACACCACGAGAGUUUGUAACACCCGAAGUCGGUGAGGUAACCUUUUGGAGCCAG